rnacentral:rRNA from 1 species
GCAGUAGCCACGGGAAUACCAGCAGCCCAAGUGGUGGUCGCGCUUAUAGGGCCUAAAGCGCUCGUAGCCUGGCCGGUAAGUUCCCCGUGAAAUCGGGUCGCCCAACGAUUCGGCUUGCGGGGAAUACUGUCGGUCUUGGGGCCGGGAGACGCCGAGGGUACUCCGGGGGUAGCGGUGAAAUGCUGUAAUCCUCGGGGGACUACCAGUGGCGAAGGCGCUCGGCGAUAACGGGCCUGACGGUGAGGGGCGAAAGCUGGGGGCGCGAACGGGAUUAGAUACCCGGGUAGUCCCUGUCUCUUAUA